GCCCCCGCCAGCGCCCGCGGCAGGAGCAGAGGAGCCGCGGCAGGCGCUGCCCUGCCUGCGCCGGGAGUGAACGGCUGCGCGGCUGCUGGGAGGGUGAAUGAAGCCAGGAGGAGGGGAAGGAGGCGGCGGCGGCGGCGCUGCGGGGAUUGGGAUGCGCCCUGGAGCCCCGCUGCUCGUUCACUCUGGGCCGUGCUGGAGACUCUGCCACUCCCGCGGCCGCCGCCGCCACCGCCGCCUCUUCCUACGUGGUUCCAGCGCUGCGCGCAGGCCGGUCCCGCAGGGGGCAGGGAAGGGGGCCGGACAGGCGGAGCGAGAGGAGCAUCGUGCAGCAAGUCAUCAGGGUGGUCCCUUCAAGCUGCAGAUUUGUGUGUCAUCCUUGUACCACAGUCUCCUCCUCUACGGCCACUACAGGGAAGUCCAUCACAUAUCAGGAUACUGGAGCAAAAUGAAAGAGUUGAUUUUGAGACCUCAGAAGUAG
rnacentral:lncRNA from 1 species